rnacentral:tRNA from 1 species
GUCAGAAUGGCCGAGUGGUCUAAGGUACCAGACUCAUGUUCUGGUCUCCAGCUGGAGGCGUGGGUUCAAAUCCCACUUCUGACA